AUUGAACGCUGGCGGCAGGCCUAACACAUGCAAGUCGAACGAGUGGCGGACGGGUGAGUAAUGUCUGGGAAACUGCCCGAUGGAGGGGGAUAACUACUAGAAACGGUAGCUAAUACCGCAUACCAUCGGAUGUGCCCAGAUGGGAUUAGCUAGUAGGUGGGGUAACGGCUCACCUAGGCGACGAUCCCUAGCUGGUCUGAGAGGAUGACCAGCCAAACUGGAACUGAGACAUGGUCCAGACUCCUACGGGAGGCAGCAGUGGGGAAUAUUGCACAAGGGGCGCAAGCCUGAUGCAGCCAUGCCGCGUGUAUGAAGAAGGCCUUCGGGUUGUAAAGUACUUUCGGCGAGUCGGCGUUAAUCGCAGAAGAAGCCCCGGCUAACUCCGUGCAUGCAGCCGCGGUAAUAC
rnacentral:rRNA from 1 species